rnacentral:rRNA from 1 species
UACGUAGGGUGCAAGCGUUGUCCGAAAUUAUUGGGCGUAAAGAGCUCGUAGGCGGUCUGUCACGUCGGCUGUGAAAACCCGAGGCUCAACCUCGGGCCUGCAGUCGAUACGGGCAAACUAGAGUACUGCAGGGGAGACUGGAAUUCCUGGUGUAGCGGUGAAAUGCGCAGAUAUCAGGAGGAACACCGGUGGCGAAGGCGGGUCUCUGGGCAGUAACUGACGCUGAGGAGCGAAAGCGUGGGGAGCGAACAGG